UUUACAUCUCAUUUCAUAUUUUUACAUAAUCGAGGAAAAUACAGGAAAGAGCAUUAAAAGAAUUAUUACAUAAAAUGAGAAUUUAAAAAACCACGUGGCAGUGAUCUGGAACAACAAGAAAGUUGAUUGAAUCUCGCUGGCAAAAAUAUUUGAAUUCAACUGAAAUUUUUGCAGCUUUCGUCCAGCCAAAUCACAGCUCAUUUCCCAGAUUUAUGAGGAACUGGAACACAUCAUGCAUUAACAUAGUCCAUACUGCCAUUGCGCUGGCGUUUGUUGGAACUUGAA
rnacentral:misc_RNA from 1 species